UACAGAGGGGGCGAGCGUUGUUCGGAAUUACUGGGCGUAAAGGGCGCGUAGGCGGCCCGCUAAGUCGAACGUGAAAUCCCCAGGCUCAACCUGGGAACUGCGUCCGAUACUGGCAGGCUUGAAUCCGGGAGAGGGAUGUGGAAUUCCAGGUGUAGCGGUGAAAUGCGUAGAUAUCUGGAGGAACACCGGUGGCGAAGGCAAUCCCCUGGGCCUGCACUGACGCUCAUGCACGAAAGCGUGGGGAGCAAACAGG
rnacentral:rRNA from 1 species